GCCCCUGUAGUUUAACGGAAGAACUAUCCCGUCCUAAGGGAGAAAUGGAGGUUCAAUUCCUUCCGGGGGCA
rnacentral:tRNA from 1 species